CACCGAUCCCGUAACUGGUCUGAGAGGAGAUCAGUCACACUGGAAUGAGACACGGUCCAGACUCCUACGGGAGGCAGCAGUGGGGAAUAUUGGACAAUGGGCGAAAGCCUGAUCCACCAUGCCGCGUGUGUGAAGAAGGUCUUCGGAUUGUAAAGCACUUUAAGUUGGGAGGAAGGGCAGUAAGUUAAUACCUUGCUGUUUUGACGUUCCAACAGAAUAAGCACCGGCUAACUUCGUGCCAGCAGCCGCGGUAAUACGAAGGGUGCAAGCGUUAAUCGGAAUUACUGGGCGUAAAGCGCGCGUAGGUGGUUCGCAAGUUGGAUGUGAAAUCCCGGGCUCAACCUGGGAACUGCAUCCAAAACUCCUGACCUCGAGUACCGUAGAGGGUGGUGGAAUUUCCUGGUAGCGGCGCACCGCGUAGAUAUAGGAAGGAACCCCAG
rnacentral:rRNA from 1 species